rnacentral:lncRNA from 1 species
GGGACAACAUAAUGUGGUGAAAUACCAUAUAGCAAAGAGAUCCAAGAAUCUUCCCUAAAAAUAAGUGAAUGCUGAGGCAACGCUGUGGUAAGAAGUGCCAUAAUGCAUGUAUUGGGUAUCAGGUUGGUACUGUGUGCUCUUUAAAAGCAAAGAUGGGUGUGCCUGCAUGCUGGUAGUCUAAGAGGGAGUGUUUAAGCUGUGUGGGAAGCCUGCGUUAUCUUCAGGCCACGAGGGUGCAAAUCAUGGAGAUCUCCUCAGACAGGCCCAGCUCUUGCUCAAACACAUGAAGCCCAACACAUGCUGUGAAAUGAGACCUUCUAUCUUCUCUUGAGUUCUUUCUGGAUGACAGCACCAUUCAUUGAAGAAGCUUCAAGUAGACUAAGGAGUUUGGAUAGGAAACUCUCAUGAGAAAACUAAAAAACUGUGGUACCAAUGUGGACAGAGGAUUCAUAUUGCUAAGAAGUUUUCAUGCCUUGCUUUUUUUAACCUGAGUUACCAGAAAUCAUAUCCUACAUGGUCUCUCACUGAUUGCAUGGACAUGAACACCACCUAAGGAGCAAGAGUAUUGCUGCUCAGAGAGG